rnacentral:pre_miRNA from 1 species
CUUGGGGGGGAUCCCUCAGCCUGGAUUGUGAGAGAGUGCAGACCAGGCCGAGGGACCCCACUGGUGCACG